rnacentral:misc_RNA from 1 species
CGAGGAAGAUACGGACGAGAAAUUGACAAUGAAGUACGCAUUGUACUUCUUGGAAAAACUGGAAGUGGGAAAAGUGCAACAGGUAAUACCAUACUAAACGGUGAAUUGUUCGCAUCCACAACAUCCGGUUCAUCCAUUACGUCACGCUGUACCAGCAGGCAAGCUCAGAGAUUCGGAAAGGAAAUCCAAGUAGUUGAUACGCCAGGAAUAUUUGAUACCAACUUACCUAAUGAUGUUGUGCAGAAAGAAAUUGUCAAAUGUAUCGGAAUGACCUCCCCUGGUCCCCAUUGCUUCUUAUUAGUACUUGGACUCACUCGAUUUACACAAGAGGAGGAAGAAAGCAUCGACCACUUUGUCAACUAUUUUGGAAGACGCGUGUUUAGUUAUUUUAUCGUUCUCUUCACACGAAAAGAUGAUCUUGAUCACCAUGGAAAGACGCUGGACGAUCACCUACGGACUGUUCCGACCAGUCUAAAGAAAAUCCUUGGCCAAUGCGAUCAUCGCUGCAUUGCGUUUAACAAUCGGGCUCCAAGUCCUGCUCGGCACGAUCAAGUUGAAGAUCUUCUUGAGAUGAUUGACGAAAUUUUACGUCAAAAUCACGGAGAAUGUUACACUAAUGACAUGUACUCGGAAGCUGAGAAGGUGAUGAAACAAAGGCAAUAUCAAAUUGAGAAGAAAAGGGAACGGGAACGGGAACGAGAAAGAAAGGAAAUCGAACGCGAGGUUGAACAAAAGUACAGAGGCCAAUAUGGUUCCCACUAUAAAAGCCAAAGUGCCUUAGAACAAAGAGUAGCGGAGUUAGAAUCAAUGCGAGAUCACUACGCGCACCGAUCGACUGCUCUUGAAAGAGAAGUCAGGGAGCUUGAAGACGAAAUAGACUACGAAAAAAGAAAAUACGGAUCCCCCAGUUCAAAACUCGUGGCAAAACUUAGGAAUCUAGAAGACGAGCGUACACAGCUUAGUUCUGGAAGAGGAGCAGCUUCGGAAAGAGAGAUCGAGGACCUAAGACACGAACUGAAGCGCAUGCAAAAACAAACCAAGAAAAUGAACAAGGAGAAAGACAGAAUAUACCAGGAGAGACUCGAGCAGCUGGACCAUAAGUACAACCAGCUCCAGAAUGCCCGCACAGAGGUAAGAACGGAAGUGGAGUCCGGAAGUGGGAAUGUGGGUGAAGCCUUGCUUGGUGGUAUUAUGAGCAUAGGGAAGCUUAUCUGGAAAGGAAUACAAAUGUUAUUCUAACUGGUAUGCUUCACUUGUGUUUUUUAUGGAGUUCAACGUACUUUAUUCAAUCUAGAGUGUCACAGUCAUGUUGUUUUAAGUAUUCAUAUGUUCGUAGGGACAGGUCACAGAAAACAGGGUUUCUUUAACGGUCAAUGAUUUACAUAAACAAAAUGAAAAUAUGUACUGGUAACGUAAAUGUAUAUGACAUGUAUAUAUACAAGUUAUUAGAUUGAUACUCUCGGUACUGUUUUAAAUUAACUAUACUUUAAGCUUAAUUGCUGAAAAACCAAACUCGGUCAUUGCUCGUAAACAUUUUAUCCAUGUAUAUAUAAAACUUUAACGUUACAGUGAAAUUCAAUUUAAAAACUCAUUGUCGAGUAUUUUCAUUCUGGUUGUAUUAAAACAAACUAAAUAUUACAUGUUGUUGUAAUAAACAUGUACAUGCUAUAAAAC